UGGGGAAUAUUGCACAAUGGGGGAAACCCUGAUGCAGCGACGCCGCGUGAGCGAUGAAGGCUUUCGAGUCGUAAAGCUCUGUCCUAUGGGAAGAUAAUGACGGUACCAUAGAAGAAAGCCCCGGCUAAUUACGUGCCAGCAGCCGCGGUAAUACGGAAGGUCCAGGCGUUAUCCGGAUUUAUUGGGUUUAAAGGGAGUGUAGGCGGUUGGUUAAGCGUGUUGUGAAAUGUAGAUGCUCAACAUCUGACUUGCAGCGCGAACUGGCUGACUUGAGUACACACAACGUAGGCGGAAUUCAUGGUGUAGCGGUGAAAUGCUUAGAUAUCAUGAAGAACUCCGAUUGCGAAGGCAGCUUACGGGAGUGUUACUGACGCUUAAGCUCGAAGGUGCGGGUAUCGAACAGG
rnacentral:rRNA from 1 species